rnacentral:rRNA from 1 species
GAUGAACGCUAGCUACAGGCUUAACACAUGCAAGUCGAGGGGAAACGAUAGAGAAAGCUUGCUUUUUCUAGGCGUCGACCGGCGCACGGGUGAGUAACGCGUAUCCAACCUGCCCAUCACUUGGGGAUAACCUUGCGAAAGUAAGACUAAUACCCAAUGGUAUCUCUAGAAGACAUCUGAAGGAGAUUAAAGAUUUAUCGGUGUUGGAUGGGGAUGCGUCUGAUUAGCUUGUUGGCGGGGUAACGGCCCACCAAGGCGACGAUCAGUAGGGGUUCUGAGAGGAAGGUCCCCCACAUUGGAACUGAGACACGGUCCAAACUCCUACGGGAGGCAGCAGUGAGGAAUAUUGGUCAAUGGGCGAGAGCCUGAACCAGCCAAGUAGCGUGCAGGAUGACGGCCCUAUGGGUUGUAAACUGCUUUUAUAAGGGAAUAAAGUGAGUCUCGUGAGGCUUUUUGCAUGUACCUUAUGAAUAAGGACCGGCUAAUUCCGUGCCAGCAGCCGCAGUAA